rnacentral:rRNA from 1 species
AGCGGCAGCGGGAAGUAGCUUGCUACUUUGCCGGCGAGCGGCGGACGGGUGAGUAAUGUCUGGGAAACUGCCUGAUGGAGGGGGAUAACUACUGGAAACGGUAGCUAAUACCGCAUGACCUCGCAAGAGCAAAGUGGGGGACCUUCGGGCCUCACGCCAUCGGAUGUGCCCAGAUGGGAUUAGCUAGUAGGUGAGGUAAUGGCUCACCUAGGCGACGAUCCCUAGCUGGUCUGAGAGGAUGACCAGCCACACUGGAACUGAGACACGGUCCAGACUCCUACGGGAGGCAGCAGUGGGGAAUAUUGCACAAUGGGCGCAAGCCUGAUGCAGCCAUGCCGCGUGUGUGAAGAAGGCCUUAGGGUUGUAAAGCACUUUCAGCGAGGAGGAAGGGUUCAGUGUUAAUAGCACUGUUCAUUGACGUUACUCGCAGAAGAAGCACCGGCUAACUCCGUGCCAGCAGCCGCGGUAAUACGGAGGGUGCAAGCGUUAAUCGGAAUUACUGGGCGUAAAGCGCACGCAGGCGGUUUGUUAAGUCAGAUGUGAAAUCCCCGAGCUUAACUUGGGAACUGCAUUUGAAACUGGCAAGCUAGAGUCUUGUAGAGGGGGGUAGAAUUCCAGGUGUAGCGGUGAAAUGCGUAGAGAUCUGGAGGAAUACCGGUGGCGAAG